rnacentral:rRNA from 1 species
GUGGAUUAGAUACCCUAGUAGUCCACGCCGUAAACGAUGGGCACUAGGUGUGGGAGGUGUCGACUCCUCCCGUGCCGGCGCUAACGCAUUAAGUGCCCCGCCUGGGGAGUACGGCCGCAAGGCUAAAACUCAAAGGAAUUGACGGGGGCCCGCACAAGCAGCGGAGCAUGUGGUUUAAUUCGACGCAACGCGAAGAACCUUACCUGGGUUUGACAUGUUGGUGACAGGUGUGGAAACACACCCUUCCUUCGGGACACCAUCACAGGUGGUGCAUGGCUGUCGUCAACU